UACGUAGGGUGCGAGCGUUGUCCGGAAUUAUUGGGCGUAAAGAGCUCGUAGGCGGUGUGUCACGUCGGCCGUGAAAACCUGCAGCUUAACUGUGGGCGUGCGGUCGAUACUGGCAUCACUGGAGUUCGGCAGGGGAGACUGGAAUUCCUGGUGUAGCGGUGAAAUGCGCAGAUAUCAGGAGGAACACCGGUGGCGAAGGCGGGUCUCUGGGCCGAUACUGACGCUGAGGAGCGAAAGCGUGGGGAGCGAACAGG
rnacentral:rRNA from 1 species